CGAAGGGUGCAAGCGUUACUCGGAAUUACUGGGCGUAAAGCGUGCGUAGGUGGUGAGUUUAAGUCUGUCGUGAAAGCCCCGGGCUCAACCUGGGAAUGGCGAUGGAUACUGGCUCGCUAGAGUGCGGUAGAGGGUGGUGGAAUUCCCGGUGUAGCAGUGAAAUGCGUAGAGAUCGGGAGGAACAUCAGUUGCGAAGGCGGCCACCUGGACCAGCACUGACACUGAGGCACGAAAGCGUGGGGAGCAAACAGGAUUAGAUACCCUGGUAGUCCACGCCCUAAACGAUGCGAACUGGACGUUGGGAGCAACUAGGCUCUCAGUGUCGAAGCUAACGCGUUAAGUUCGCCGCCUGGGGAGUACGGUCGCAAGACUG
rnacentral:rRNA from 1 species